CUAGAUGUAAGAUAAUUGCGCGGCACGUUAAUAUCUCUAUGUAAUCCCGACAUGUGGGCCUUUCUUCCGUAUUUCCUGAUAACCCCCUGUAGAAAUAGACAAACACCAAAACUCGUGGAAUUCUGUCAGAUAAAACCCUAAGUCUAGAUGUUGAUUUCAUUUGGAUCCUUUUCUUUAUUUAUUUGAUAAUUAAAUUUAAUACUUAAGGACCGUC
rnacentral:lncRNA from 1 species